GCUGGGCGUGGUGGUGCACGCCUGUAAUCCCAGCUACUCUGGAGGCUGAGGCAGGAGAAUCGCUUGAACCCGGGAGGUGGAGGCUGCAGUGAGCUGAGAUGGCACCAUUGCACUACAGCCUGGGCAAUAGAGUGAGAUUCCGUCUCAA
rnacentral:SRP_RNA from 1 species